GAUGAACGCUAGCGGCAGGCCUAACACAUGCAAGUCGAGGGGUAGCAGGAUUAAGCUUGCUUAAUUGCUGACGACCGGCGCACGGGUGCGUAACGCGUAUGCAACCUACCUUAUACUGGGGUAUAGCCCGGAGAAAUUCGGAUUAAUCCCCCAUAGUACUAAUGAAUCGCAUGGUUUAUUAGUUAAAGCAUUGCGGUGUAAGAUGGGCAUGCGUCCUAUUAGCCAGAUGGUGAGGUAACGGCUCACCAUGGCGACGAUAGGUAGGGGGCCUGGCAGGGUAGUCCCCCACACUGGUACUGGGACACGGACCAGACUCCUACGGGAAGCAGCAGUGAUGAAUAUUGGUCAAUGGGCGCAAGCCUGAACCAGCCAUGCCACGUGCAGGAAGAAUGCCCUAUGGGUUGUAAACUGCUUUUAUUUGGGAAUAAACCUCUUUACGUGUAGAGAGCUGAAGGUACCAAAUGAAUAAGCACCGGCUAACUCCGUGCCAGCCGCCGCCGUAA
rnacentral:rRNA from 1 species